rnacentral:rRNA from 1 species
CUGGCUCAGGAUGAACGCUAGCGGCAGGCUUAACACAUGCAAGUCGAGGGGCAUCGGGAGUAGCAAUACUGCCGGCGACCGGCGCAAGGGUGCGUAACGCGUGAGCAACAUGCCCGUAUCAGGGGGAUAAUCCAUGGAAACGUGGUCUAAUACCCCAUAGUAAUUAUGUAAGGCAUCUUAUAUAAUUUAAAGCUUUGGUGGAUACGGAUUGGCUCGCGUGACAUUAGCUAGAUGGUAAGGUAACGGCUUACCAUGGCUACGAUGUCUAGGGGUUCUGAGAGGAAGGUCCCCCACACUGGAACUGAGACACGGUCCAGACUCCUACGGGAGGCAGCAGUGAGGAAUAUUGGACAAUGGAUGGAAAUCUGAUCCAGCCAUGCCGCGUGCAAGGAAGACGGCCCUAUGGGUUGUAAACUGCUUUUGUAUGGGAGCAAUAAGGGCUACGCGUAGUCCGAUGAGAGUACCAUACGAAUAAGCACCGGCUAACUCCGUGCCAGCCGCUGC